UGUGUUGUAAUAUGUGUGUGUGUGUGUGUGUGUGGUAGCUGCAGCAGUGCAGUCAGAUUUACGAGCGCUGCAGUGCCACUCAGCUUCUCCUCCCUCUGACUCACCCUGCUCUCUCUCGUCUGACCGCCUCUACUUUUAUUAGCUUAUUAGCAUAGGAUGCUAAAGCUAUUAGCAUGGGUUGCCAAAGCUCAACACUGACAGGAAAUAAAAACACCACAUAUGUUUUUUAUUUAUUUAUAGAGCACGUUUAAGUAAAAACUGUUAAGGACGGUCGAUCUGUACGGGAUUCAGCAAAUGAUGUUAAUUCACCGGAACAGAAAACCAGUCCAGACUGGUUCCAGUAAAACCAACCCACUGUCUGUUCUCAGGUCAGACAGCAUGUUAUUCUUUUCCCUCCAGUGGUUCAGCCAUUCUGAGAUCAUUCUGUUCUUUUCUUUUUUGUCACUGUUUUGGUUUUUUUGGUGUUUGUGUUUUGCUGCUCUCAUUCUGGUAAGCCCUUCCUCUUGUUCCUCUUGGUGUGUUUCACUUCCUGUUUCUGUGUUAUUUAUUCAUUCAUUCUGUUUCACUUUGGUAUGUUCCUCUCCUCUCUGGCCACUUCACUUCCUGCUGAGUUAGGUCAUGUUCCUCUUCCCUGAAUGUGUCCACCUGUGCCUCAUCUAUCACUUCCUGUUUUGUGAGUGUUUCUUCUUUUUAAGCUGCAAAUUCGUCACGUCUUUCUCCCUCUCUUCAGCCGAGUGUUUCCCAGUGACUGUUGGAUUAUCUACGUUUUGGACUGUAGAUUUCAUGGAUCUAUGUGUUCAUGCCACUCAGGACUUAUGCUGCAUUUCUUUGGACUGCUUCUUCUCCACAAAACAGAAGAGAAAGACAGCCGGUAGAGACUCAUCAGACGGACAGACGUCACUCACAUGUCCUCAGUGGUUAACCUCCUCAUAUCCUCUGAGGUUAACUGGACUGCAUGCAGUUUAAAUACUUCAACCAGAAGAGACUUCAUGGCCAGCAUGCAGCAGGGAUUGGAAAAUGGAAAGGAUAAGGAUAAAGGAAGAAAUGGGGGAAAUAAAAAAAGGAAAAGAUGGAAAAGAAACAGAAAGAAAUAAUUCAUCAUGCAACAACAAAAAGAAAACAUCAACAUGCAUAGACAUUUAAAUCAAAUCCUGACAGCAGGCAGAACAAACAGAAACUGUAUGAAAAGAUGUAGAAUAAAAACACAGACAACAUAUAUGUCGCUCUGCCGAGCGACACGUUCUUCACCUGUUUCUUUACGUCUCAUAUAAAACACUUACAUCUUCAUAUAACUGAAGAGGUUGUCUUUAAGACGAGCAUAAAUAAUGUGUUGAUACAGAGCCAACAGUUAUCGAUUUAGGAAGUCCAGGGCGGCUCUUAAAUUAAAUUAUUUAAAACAAGCACAAAUUUGCUUAUUCAAGGCUGACAUGGCAACGCUGAAUGAAAGCAGAGCAGUGAGGAGCAGUCAGGCAUUUAAUAAACCUAAGGUCAUGAGUCCAAAUGUCUCCAAUGCAGCCCCAUCCCAUUAAAAAUAUUUCUGACUGGGGACCAAAA